CGUAGGCGGUUUUUUAAGUCUGAUGUGAAAGCCCACGGCUCAACCGUGGAGGGUCAUUGGAAACUGGAAAACUUGAGUGCAGAAGAGGAAAGUGGAAUUCCAUGUGUAGCGGUGAAAUGCGCAGAGAGAUGGAGGAACACCAGUGGCGAAGGCGACUUUCUGGUCUGCAACUGACGCUGAUGUGCGAAAGCGUGGGGAUC
rnacentral:rRNA from 1 species